UUUUCUCGGUCUUGGUUAAAACACAUCACACAUCCUCAAAAGAAAGCGACUCGGUUGGCUUACAUUACAGAUAUCAAUUUGGACUGAGUCAUUGAGAUUGAGAUUUGAGAGGGCAAAUUCAAGAGAAAAAUCUUGCAAGUCAAAGCUUACAAGGGCCAAUUCAAAUACAAGACUGGGCUGACCGGCAACGUGCCCAUUACCUUCAGCCUUCAGCGUAAACUGUGUCAGUGACUGUAGCUGGCUUUCAUUCCACUUCUACGUAAAGACUUUCCUUUUUCUUACUUUUCUCUAGCUCUCCAACCAGGAAGUUUCCUCCAGCCCAAUCACGUCACAAUAGUUUCAUUUCAUCAUCGUCAAUGGUAGAAAUCCUAACAAAAAACACACAAUUCUGCAUUAGGAUUAAGGAAAAACUGCACAAAAAAACGCAAUUAUUGGUUACUCAUUUUCACUUUCUUAAUUUCUUUUCUUUUCUUUUCUUUUCUUUUCCUCUUCGCUUUCGAAAUCGGAUAUGUCUAAAAAGGUAAAAGCGUAGUUGUCCGUUUAAUUAAAAUAAAACCAAACCUGUAUCUGUAUGUGUGCAUGUAUGUGUGCGUAUAUAGGUAGAGUGGACGUAGUAACAACACUUACCUUCCGUCAGUUACAAAUAAUAAUAGCACUCAAUCGUCAGUAUCAAUAUCUGACUUGCAGACUGCACUCACAUGACUGACCUGCAACACGUAUUACUUACAUUAGCAGACAAAUUAAAAGCGAGCCCCCUCUCUGUGUGCAAAGAUCAAAAAUAAAUGAAAAGCCUUACCAUUUCUGCUGACUCUGUCACCAAUUUUUCAGUACUAGUCUGUUCCCUCCAUUAACCCACACCAUUCCCUCCAUUAACC
rnacentral:lncRNA from 1 species